rnacentral:rRNA from 1 species
AAAGGAAUAGACGGGGGCCCGCACAAGCAGUGGAGUAUGUGGUUUAAUUCGACGCAACGCGAAGAACCUUACCAGGUCUUGACAUCCAACUAACGAAGUAGAGAUACAUCAGGUGCCCUUCGGGGAAAGUUGAGACAGGUGGUGCAUGGUUGUCGUCAGCUCGUGUCGUGAGAUGUUGGGUUAAGUCCCGCAACGAGCGCAACCCUUGUUAUUAGUUGCUACGCAAGAGCACUCUAAUAAGACUGCCGUUGACAAAACGGAGGAAGGUGGGGAUGACGUCAAAUCAUCAUGCCCCUUAUGACCUGGGCUACACACGUACUACAAUGGUCGCUAACAGAGGGAAGCAAAUCCGCGAGGAGGAGCAAAUCCCUAAAAGCGGUCUCAGUUCAGAUUGCAGGCUGCAACUCGCCUGUAUGAAGUCGGAAUUGCUAGUAAUCGCGGAUCAGCAUGCCGCGGUGAAUACGUUCCCGGGCCUUGUACACACCGCCCGU